CCUACGGGUGGCAGCAGUGAGGAAUAUUGGUCAAUGGACGGAAGUCUGAACCAGCCAUGCCGCGUGCAGGAAGACGGCUCUAUGAGUUGUAAACUUCUUUUAUAAAGGAAUAAAGUGAGGCACGUGUGCCUUUUUGUAUGUACUUUAUGAAUAAGGAUCGGCUAACUCCGUGCCAGCAGCCGCGGUAAUACGGAGGAUCCGAGCGUUAUCGGGAUUUAUUGGGUGUAAAGGGAGCGUAGAUGGGUUGUUAAGUCAGUUGUGAAAGUUUGGGGCUCAACCGUAAAAUUGCAAUUGAUACUGGCAGCCGUGAGUACAGUUGAGGUAGGCGGAAUUAGUGGUGUAGCGGUGAAAUGCUUAGAGAUCACGAAGAACUCCGAUUGCGAAGGCAGCCUACUAAACUGCCACUGACAUUGAUGCUCGAAAGUGUGGGUAUCAAACAGGAUUAGAUACCCCGGUAGUC
rnacentral:rRNA from 1 species